AGUGUAGCCAGGGCCAAGACUGAGCCUGAGGGGUGGGCAGUGGGAAACUGUGGUGGUGACAGCCCAGGCAGGGUGUGAGUGGGUCUGGAGGACAGAGGGGCAGUUAAACUGACAGGAGGAGGCCGUUUGGAAGGCAAGGGAAGGACCAGCCAGUGCUAGCGAUUGGCUGGAAGGAGGAAGAAGACCUAUGGAUCAUUUGGGCUGUGUGAUGGAAUCAGAAAACUGCUCACGCUACUACAGCAGAAAAGGAGGAUGCUUUACGAGGACAUAGAGCUGACACCCCAAGGCAGCAGCGUGGCCAGUUCUCAGCAAAGCCGACCCGGGACUGCAGGGCCACCAGGCCUACCUGAGCCAGGAGUGGAGAUGAACACAAAUCAACGCUCGGCGACCUGGGAGAGUGGAGACGUGACAGCAGGAGGGGACGUGGGGUCAGGGGGUGGGGGCAGGAUGAGGACAGGCCCAGGCAGGCCUCCUCGGAACCAAAGGAGUGGACACGACAUCCUAUCAACCAGUUGCUCAAGUCAAAACCUAAGAGCCACCUGCGAAUCCUCUGUUUGUAUUUCUCCCCUAUCACACGGAUCAGCCAGUCCUGCAGAACGCAAGCUCCAUAAGCUAGUCUCCAGUGCUUACUGCUGUACCUUCAGGGCCUGGAAUAGUGCUUGGUACCCGGUAGGCACUCAAUGAAUAUUUACUGAGCAGCUAUGGCCUGGAACGCAGUUGCUUCAGUCAGAACACUAAUAUGGAGGCUGCGUGGCCACACUUCUUAUUCUAAUGGAGCAGGGGCCACUGUCUUGGUGAAUUGAGCUUGACCUUGGCAUCAGACGAAUCAUGGUACUACCAGCAGGAAGACACAGCUUUGGGACGAGGAAAGAACUCUGCCAGGACAAACCUUCACCUGCUGCCAGCCUCUCGGUCCUCCCAGCCUUGUCAUCUGUCCUGCUUUUUGCAUUUUGUUUCUAUCUAUUUUGCCCAUCCACUUUCUGGGACAGGCCUUAGCUUUGGCUUUCCAAAACCCAUGCCAUGAUUUGGAAGCUGAUUUUUCUGACUGCAAAGCCAGGCCAGGCUUGAGGAAGCCUAAAUUGCAAAAAAAAAAAAAAAAAAAAGAGAGAGAGAAAAAAAAAGAAGAAUAAAAUCGAGCUUUCAUCAGAGAAAAUAAAACUUGUUGUAUUGAUUGGAGCAAGGGUAGGAAGGGUAGGAGGUGGAGGGGGAACAGAAAACAGCCAGAAACUCCCAUUUCUGUAUGAUUACAAUCAACUCGGAGGUUUGGCUUCUCUGUUUCAUUACACUGGGGGAAAAGGAAAGAGCCAACUUUACACCCCUCCACAAUCUAACACAGCCGCAGGUAAUAUCUCUGGCUUUCCAAUCUUUUUUUUUUCCAAAAAACUAUUUUCCUUAUUAAACUUGCACUAGGUGAA